rnacentral:rRNA from 1 species
CGUAGGGUGCGAGCGUUGUCCGGAAUUAUUGGGCGUAAAGAGCUUGUAGGCGGUUAGUCGCGUCGGAAGUGAAAACUCGGGCCUUAAUCCCGAGCUUGCUUCCGAUACGGGCUGACUAGAGGAAGGUAGGGGAGAAUGGAAUUCCUGGUGGAGCGGUGGAAUGCGCAGAUAUCAGGAGGAACACCAGUGGCGAAGGCGGUUCUCUGGACCUUUCCUGACGCUGAGAAGCGAAAGCGUGGGGAGCAAACAGGAUUAGAUACCCUGGUAGUCCCU